CAUUCCGAACCCGGAAGUUAAGCCUCACAGCGUCGAUGGUACUGCACGGGUGACUUUGUGGGAGAGUAGAACGUUGCCGGAC
rnacentral:rRNA from 1 species